rnacentral:rRNA from 1 species
AUUGAACGCUGGCGGCAUGCCUUACACAUGCAAGUCGAACGGUAACAGGUCUUCGGAUGCUGACGAGUGGCGAACGGGUGAGUAAUACAUCGGAACGUGCCUAGUAGUGGGGGAUAACUACUCGAAAGAGUGGCUAAUACCGCAUGAGAUCUACGGAUGAAAGCAGGGGAUCGCAAGACCUUGUGCUACUAGAGCGGCCGAUGGCCGAUUAGGUAGUUGGUGGGAUAAAAGCUUACCAAGCCGACGAUCUGUAGCUGGUCUGAGAGGACGAUCAGCCACACUGGGAAUGAGACACGGCCCAGACUCCUACGGGAAGCAGAAGUGGGGAAGUUUGGACAAUGGGCGCAAGCCUGAUCCAGCAAUGCCGCGUGCAGGAUGAAGGCCUUCGGGUUGUAAACUGCUUUUGUACGGAACGAAAAGCCCUGGGUUAAUACCCUGGGGUCAUGACGGUACCGUAAGAAUAAGCACCGGCUAACUACGUGCCAGCAGCCGCCGCCGUAA